AGUAAUUGCUGUUGAUUAAUUUUUAUUUAAAGACACAUUGUUCUUAUCAUCUUCCCCAUUUAACCGUCCAAACGAGCUCUAAUCUCCGAAAUUAACAAGAAUCAUGCACGAUUAACUGUAAUUAUGUUAGGGCUUAUGUAGUUUAGGUCUAGAUGAAAAAGGCAUACAAGAAUCAAACCUGGAAGAGCUCGGAUUGAAUGACAAGAGGGUUGGUCAGAGAAUAAAGUUUUCCGGCGAGGCAAAAGAGGUCACAUAGACGAUUUGAAUAUAACUGUAAGUUAUGGCGACGAGUUAAAACAGGUAUACGGUCCCUAUUAAUACUAAUCUAGUCGGUUAACGUAUCAUCAGAAUCUUAAUGGAGAUUUGCGGGUUGUUGUGAGUUCCGGAUAAACAUCAAAUCGAACGAUUCAUGGGAUAAUGCUUGUAGUUGGUUAGGAUAAUGAUGGAGAUAAGAGAUAAUGCAAGAAUAACGGACGAAUUACUAGCGGGUUAAGGACUUCCGGGUCGCCGGUCGGAACUUCGAAGAGCAGAUAAGGAAACCGCAGGUCACAUAAACGUAAACUUUUGGAGAAAGCCGACUGACUAUCAAAGAUCUUGUACAUCUGGAAACAAGCCAUAUUUGUGCACAAAUGAAGGAGUUUCAUAGUUUUCAAGCAGUGGUAAUCCGGGAACCGAAACGACUGAGUCUGUCAAUGGGACAGUGAGAAGCUUUCUAUUGACAUGAUAAUAGAUGCUAUUCACAGCACAAGUUUGAGUAAAGAAGGCAACUCCCAUCAACCUGAAUCUUUUCGCGACAUCAAGGGCCCAUGGCAAAAAACCGUCAUAAAUAAUGACAUUGGGACGAUCUAGUUGUAGAACAAGGUCAGAUAAUGAUUUUGGUCCCACUUCCCGAAGCUUUGGAAAGAAAACUUCUGGCGGCACGAUUUCAUCCGGGCCAUUGUCAUCAAACCCAUCAGAAAAUGUUUCCAAGUUGAUAAGGUGGUUGUUUUUGUCAAAAGUGACACUUUUGGAGAAGGACAAGGUUGUUGCAAAUGUCGUUUUAAUUCCUUUUGCGACCAAGCGUUUGCAGAAUUGGAGCAACGGGUUAACAUGGCCUUGAGCCGGAUAUGAGAUGACGAGAACGUGAGGCUGUUUCUGGGAUGAACUCAUCUUGUUAACAUUUGAUCUAAAAUAAUUGGGUUUGUAGACUCGUAAGAUAUGAAUAGACAAAUAGUAAAUUCCGCCGUAGAAUUUUCUAUGUUUGUAGUUUUCGUUUGCACUAUAAUUUUGUUUUAUGUUUCCAUCGAAGUGUCUAAUUAAGUAAUGUGAAAUAAAUAGCAGCCGAACGAAUAAAGCAAGUAUCAGAUACAACUUUUUUAGGUUAACAUGAAUCACAAAAUACAAAAGACAAAUGACAAAAACAACUCAGGCUAAAUCGACCUUCUUAUCUGAUCACCAGUUGUAUGUACAAAAUUGUAAAACUACAUAUUCAAAGUCCCUUUCAUAAUUGAUGAUUAGGAUAACAAAUGCAUAUAUCCCAUGUGUAACUAAACCAAAAUAUUCGAUAGGUUUUAAACACCUGGG